rnacentral:rRNA from 1 species
CCUACGGGAGGCAGCAGUGAGGAAUAUUGGUCAAUGGGCGCGAGCCUGAACCAGCCAAGUAGCGUGAAGGAUGACUGCCCUACGGGUUGUAAACUUCUUUUAUAAAGGAAUAAAGUGAGGCACGUGUGCCUUUUUGUAUGUACUUUAUGAAUAAGGACCGGCUAACUCCGUGCCAGCAGCCGCGGUAAUACGGAGGAUCCGGGCUUUAUCCGGAUUUAUUGGGUUUAAAGGGAGCGUAGAUGGGUUGUUCAGUCAGUUGUGAAAGUUUGCGGCUCAACCGUAAAAUUGCAAUUGAAACUGGCAGCCUUGAGUACAGUUGAGGCAGGCGGAAGUCGUGGUGUAGCGGUGAAAUGCUUAGAUAUCACGAAGAACCCCGAUUGCGAAGGCAGCUUACCAAAGUGCUACUGACAUUGAUGCUCGAAAGUGUGGGUAUCAAACAGGAUUAGAUACCCUUGUAGUC